UGAGGGAUAUUGGUCAAUGGGCGCAAGCCUGAACCAGCGACGCCGCGUGGGUGAAGAAGGUCUUCGGAUCGUAAAGCCCUUUUUCCACUGAAGAGGAAGGACGGUAGGUGGGGAAGAAGUCUCGGCUAACUACGUGCCAGCAGCCGCGGUAAAACGUAGGAGACAAGCGUUAUCCGGAGUUACUGGGCGUAAAGGGCGUGCAGGUGGCGUCUUAAGUCUGUUGUGAAAGCGCCUGGCUUAACCGGGCGAGGCCAAUGGAGACUGAGAGGCUGGAGGACGGCGGAGGGGUGUGGAAUCCGGGUGUAGUGGUGAAAUGCGUAGAGAUCCGGAGGAACACCCGAGGCGAAGGCGGCACUCUAAGCCGUACCUGACACUGAGACGCGACAGCACGGGGAGCAAACG
rnacentral:rRNA from 1 species